GAUGAAGAACGCAGCGAAAUGCGAUACUUGGUGUGAAUUGCAGAAUCCCGUGAACCAUCGAGUCUUUGAACGCAAGUUGCGCCCGAAGCCAUCAGGUUGAGGGCACGUCUGCCUGGGCGUCACAUAUCGUUGCUCGAUGCCUAUCGCAUUGCGAUAGGACUUAGGGCGAAUGAUGGCUUCCCGUGAGCGUUGUUGCCUCGCGGUUGGUUGAAAAUCGAGUCCUUGUUAGGGUGUGCCAUGAUAGAUGGUGGUCGAGUUAGCACGAUACCGAUCAUGUGCAUGCUCCCCAAAAUAUGGCCUCUGUGACCCACACGCGUCUUUUGACGCUCAUGACGAGACCUCAGGUCAGGCGGGGCUACCCGCUGAAUUUAAGCAUAUCAAUAAGCGGAGGA
rnacentral:misc_RNA from 1 species